rnacentral:misc_RNA from 1 species
UGGUUCUGGCAUCGAUGAAGAACGCAGCGAAAUGCGAUAAGUAGUGUGAAUUGCAGAAUUCAGUGAAUCAUCGAAUCUUUGAACGCACAUUGCGCCCUUUGGUAUUCCUUAGGGCAUGCCUGUUCGAGCGUCAUAAAACCCCCUCAAGCGCAGCUUGUUGUUGGGCGCUUGUCCCGCCCCCGGCCGGACUCGCCCCGAAUCCAUUGGCGGCCCCCGCAUUGGGCUAUCGAGCGCAGCAGAAUUGCGCCUCGGGCACAGCGCGCGGGCGACCACUGAGCAACCCCCAUCACUUUGACCUCGGAUCAGGUAGGGAUACCCGCUGA